rnacentral:rRNA from 1 species
UCGAGCGGGGGAAGGUAGCUUGCUACCGGACCUAGCGGCGGACGGGUGAGUAAUGCUUAGGAAUCUGCCUAUUAGUGGGGGACAACAUCUCGAAAGGGAUGCUAAUACCGCAUACGUCCUACGGGAGAAAGCAGGGGAUCUUCGGACCUUGCGCUAAUAGAUGAGCCUAAGUCGGAUUAGCUAGUUGGUGGGGUAAAGGCCUACCAAGGCGACGAUCUGUAGCGGGUCUGAGAGGAUGAUCCGCCACACUGGGACUGAGACACGGCCCAGACUCCUACGGGAGGCAGCAGUGGGGAAUAUUGGACAAUGGGGGGAACCCUGAUCCAGCCAUGCCGCGUGUGUGAAGAAGGCCUUAUGGUUGUAAAGCACUUUAAGCGAGGAGGAGGCUACUUUAGUUAAUACCUAGAGAUAGUGGACGUUACUCGCAGAAUAAGCACCGGCUAACUCUGUGCCAGCAGCCGCGGUAAUACAGAGGGUGCGAGCGUUAAUCGGAUUUACUGGGCGUAAAGCGUGCGUAGGCGGCUUAUUAAGUCGGAUGUGAAAUCCCCGAGCUUAACUUGGGAAUUGCAUUCGAUACUGGUGAGCUAGAGUAUGGGAGAGGAUGGUAGAAUUCCAGGUGUAGCGGUGAAAUGCGUAGAGAUCUGGAGGAAUACCGAUGGCGAGGCAGCCAUCUGGCCUAAUACUGACGCUGAGGUACGAAAGCAUGGGGAGCAAACAGGAUUAGAUACUC